ACCCGCUGAACUUAAGCAUAUCAAUAAGCGGAGGAAAAGAAACCAACAGGGAUUGCCCUAGUAACGGCGAGUGAAGCGGCAACAGCUCAAAUUUGAAAUCUGGCUUCGGCCCGAGUUGUAAUUUGUAGAGGAAGCUUCUGGCGCGGUGCCGUCCGAGUCCCCUGGAACGGGGCGCCAUAGAGGGUGAGAGCCCCGUAUGGAUGGAUGCCUAGCCUGUGUGAAGCUCCUUCGACGAGUCGAGUAGUUUGGGAAUGCUGCUCAAAAUGGGAGGUAAAUUCCUUCUAAAGCUAAAUAUUGGCCAGAGACCGAUAGCGCACAAGUAGAGUGAUCGAAAGAUGAAAAGCACUUUGAAAAGAGGGUUAAACAGCACGUGAAAUUGUUGAAAGGGAAGCGCUUGUGACCAGACUUGCGCCAGGCUGAUCAUCCGGUGUUCUCACCGGUGCACUCUGCCUGGCACAGGCCAGCAUCAGUUUUGGCGGGGGGAUAAAGGACGCAGGAACGUAGCUCCUCCGGGAGUGUUAUAGCCUGUGUUGCAAUGCCCUCGCCGGGACUGAGGACCGCGCAUCUGCAAGGAUGCUGGCGUAAUGGUCAUCAGCGACCCGUCUUGAAACACGGACCAAGGAGUCAAGGUUUUGCGCGAGUGUUUGGGUGUAAAACCCGCACGCGUAAUGAAAGUGAACGUAGGUGAGAGCUUCGGCGCAUCAUCGACCGAUCCUGAUGUAUUCGGAUGGAUUUGAGUAAGAGCGUUAAGCCUUGGACCCGAAAGAUGGUGAACUAUGCUUGGAUAGGGUGAAGCCAGAGGAAACUCUGGUGGAGGCUCGCAGCGGUUCUGACGUGCAAAUCGAUCGUCAAAUCUGAGCAUGGGGGCGAAAGACUAAUCGAACCAUCUAUGCGUU
rnacentral:rRNA from 1 species